UAAAGGUCAUCUGCCUUCAGCCGUGCUGAUUGAAGGAAGUGCGAGUUGUACAGAAAACUUGCUACCCUGUCAUGAGGAUGCCCAACAAAUAUGUCAGUGGGGCACCUUGCUCUCCCUCAGUCUGAAUGGCUCAGGGAGCCUCUUCAGGCUGGUGUCGCACUGCUGCUGCAAGGAACAUCCAAUUCGUGGUGCCGCCCUUCUCU